CUGCUAUAUGAAGCGGAGUCUCUCGAAGUUUGCCACCCCUAACGUGCACCUCGGCUCCAUAACCCAACAAAGUUUCAACCACUAACGGAGCACCGUAAUCAACCAGAAUCCGAACCAUAUCGAUGUCCCUUCGUCUAGCAGCCAAAUGAAGGGCCGAAUCUCCGGCCGGUGUUGUAGCACGAAGUUGAUCUGGCGCUUGUUGAGCUAAUAAUUCACGACACAUGGAUUGAUUGCCAGCCUCGACUGCUAAGAGAAGUGGUAUCUUUCCUCUCUGUUUAACAAUUGCAUUUCGUUUAUCAACUUUUUAUAUUUAUUCUAUGAUUUUUUUUGUUUAUUUUAUUACGAAAUAAUACAAUAAAACGACGAACGAUACUCUCGUAAAAGUUUGCAACGUUGAUCGAUAUUUAUAGGUAAUGUUUACGAUAGUCGUGUCAUCGAUACGAAAUUGUUAUCGUUGAAAAGUAGGAAAUAAAGAGACCACCAA
rnacentral:lncRNA from 1 species